AUUGAACGCUGGCGGCAUGCUUUACACAUGCAAGUCGAACGGUAACAGGCCUUCGGGUGCUGACGAGUGGCGAACGGGUGAGUAAUGCAUCGGAACGUACCCAGAGGUGGGGGAUAACGCAGCGAAAGCUGUACUAAUACCGCAUGUGAUCUGAGGAUGAAAGCGGGGGACCGAGCAGCAAUGUUUGGCCUCGCGCCUUCGGAGCGGCCGAUGUCGGAUUAGCUAGUUGGUGGGGUAAAGGCCUACCAAGGCGACGAUCCGUAGCUGGUCUGAGAGGACGACCAGCCACACUGGGACUGAGACACGGCCCAGACUCCUACGGGAGGCAGCAGUGGGGAAUUUUGGACAAUGGGCGCAAGCCUGAUCCAGCAAUGCCGCGUGCGGGAAGAAGGCCUUCGGGUUGUAAACCGCUUUUGGCAGGAACGAAACGGUGUCCGCUAAUACCGGGCGCUAAUGACGGUACCUGCAGAAUAAGCACCGGCUAACUACGUG
rnacentral:rRNA from 1 species